CUUCGAUAGAUCAGAAACAUGCACACCAGAUUCAUGUUCGGCGAGCAAAUCCUUCUUGAAGUCGACAGUUUUAUGCACCACUUUCCUUUUUUCAGCACCAACAGUUCCACUUGCAUUCUUUGCGCCAUGAUCGGGGGUUAAUGUUGCUCAAUUUCAAGAAAAAAAAGUCACUACAGUACUGGUGCGCGUCCGCGAGCAAAGUGUGAGUCAACUGGUUGCGCCAUGCGCAGUCGCGCGGGUUACGUCUUUCCGUUUUUUUUCGGGGGUUCGUUCGAAAGCACAAUAACAAAUCGUCGUUCGUCGCCGUUCAAAUACCGAUUUUCAUUCAAAAUCCAAGGCAAAAAAAAUCUCCAACUUUUCAUUUGAAGACUGAUUUGUAUGAAAACCAAGACGUUCGACCGAGGUGCCACUGUACAGUGUAGUCGUCCUGUCCCAUGUGCAGAAAAACAUCCCAUGAUGCUUCACAGUAAGGAUGGUGUCCUUGGGAUAGAACUCAUCAUUUGUCUUCCUCCAAACACGAUGGUCUCUCUCACAGUGGAUAUGAACCUCCGAUGAAAAUUCCAGACCCCUCCAUGAUUUACGUCACCUGGACAAUGCACCUGCCUUCAAGCAGCACUUCCUACUGCUUUUAAGCCUAUCAAGUCCAGUAAACCACUGCCUGAGUAUUGACACUUGAUUGUGGUUCGCCGGGUGACUCUCGGACCUCCAGGUUUCUAUGCUGUUCACUGUCUGCGUGAUAACCUCUUGUGUUCUCAAUGUCGCCAAGUGCUGUGCUGAUGCAAAAGCUUCCUCUGGAGUGCCCAAGAAGAAGAGGAAGACGAUGACAAUCAGUGAAAAUGUAAAACUUUUGCAUAUGAUCAAAGAUGACAGGAGUUACGCUUUUGUGGAGCGCCAGGGUGCGCGACAUAAAAUCUGUAAAACUGCUUUAAUAAUUUUAGGAAGGAAAACAUGUGGCGACUCUGUGAAAUAAGAGGAUUGUUCGAAUGGAAGCUGUGUUAGCUUUGCAGACAGUGGAUUGCAGAAAAACGGCCCGGUGACAAUGAUGAAGAGGCUGAAGAAAGUGAUGACGAACCUCAAGCUGCAAGGAGUGAUCUCCCCCAACACACACACUUGAGGAUGAGGCUUUUUGGCAAGCAAAAGUUGGUUUGAAAAAUGCAUGCUAAAACAAUGUGAUACAACGAAGAGAGGCACAUCGGUGAGACACAAAGGAUGUCAGAAUGGUGCUGAUUAUAGUGUGUGUGCAUAAACCUGCGUCAGUCCUGAAUACUUCCGCAUUAAUUUUAUACCUACGCUGUAAAUUCCAACACAUUAUUGUUAAUGUGGGGCAAGUGUGUCAGAGCGUCUAUCAAACUCAAAUUGAUAUAGUAGUUAAAAAAAAACCUACCAUGUGUUUUUUUAAUAAAUUAAUACAAUUAAAUACCCCAAGUGGGUACUCGCAUGUGUGUCACUUCAGCCUGACCAUUGUAAAAGGUCACCGGUAGCCACUGAUAUAGAUAUAUACUUUGCGUGUAUUUUUAUUCUUUAUUCUCUUUAUUUUCCUUUAACAUCUUUAAGUUAUUAUGAUGCAGGUCUUUUGUCAUACGGAAUUCUGGAAUGUUCUGAGGAGUGCCUGUGUAAGGAUGAGAAAGACCGUCAACGGGGCUUCCAACGACCGCACCGGUGCUUGGGACAAUUACACAGACACCUUCUGCCUUUCGUCUUUGGACAUUUCUGGAAUAUUUGCUCACUUGGAAUAUUUGCUGGAAUGUUCUGAGGAGUGCCUUUAUAAGGAUGAGAAAGACCGUCAAUGGGGCUUCUUACGACCGCACCGCUGCUUGGGACAAUUACACAGACGCCUUCUGCCUUUCAUCUUUGGACAUUUCUGGAACAUUCACUCACUUGGAAUAUUCGCUGGAAAGAACAUUUAUCUGUUUGGGAAUAUUCGUUCAACGUUGGUGACUAUUCGCUGUUUGACUCGACUACUCGGUCUUUGAACUUUUAUUUUAUGUUAGUUGUUUUAUCGUGCCUGUGUUGUAUUGUGUGUGUGAUUAAAGUGUCUGAAAGUGCUUUGUCACAUUUUGCUGGUUUAAGUAAAGGGGAUUUUAAUCUAAAUUCACACGACUAUAUAUAUAUAUAUAUAUAUAUAUAUAUAUAUAGAUAGAUAGAUAGAUAGAUAGAUAGAUAGAUAGAUAGAUCUGUCCGAUUUAUUAGCCGCUUAUCCUCACAAGGGUCGUGGCAACGGGUUAGGAUUAGGGUUAACCCUAAAUUGCCAAGCAGCUUGGUGAAAAAAGGUCCACUGUUGAAGCAAUCAUUAGAAAAUGGAAGAAGCUCAACAUGAUGGUCAAUCUCAAUCAUAGUGGAGCCCCAUGCAAGAUAUCACCCCCUGGGGUCUCAAUGAUCCUUAGAAAGGUGAGGAAACCUCCCAGGACUACACAACAGGACUUGGUCAAUGACCUGAAAAGAGCUGGGACCACCAUUUCCAAGGUGACUGUUGGUAAUACACUAAGACGUCAUGGUUUGAAAUCAUGCAUGGCACGGAAGGCAUGCUUAAACCAGCACAUGUCGAGGCCCGUCUUAAGUUUGCCACUGACCAUUUGGAUGAUACAGAGGAGUCAUGGGAGAAAGUUUUGUGGUCAAAUGAGCCCAAAAUGUAACUUUUUGGUCAUAAUUCCACUAAGUGUGCUUGGAUCCCUAUCCCAAGAACACCAUGCCUGUUGCGAAGGAUGGGGUGGUAGCAUUGUGCUUUGGGGGUGUUUUUCUGCAAAUGGGACAGGACGACUCACUGUAUUAAGGAGAGGAUAACCCCGGCCAUGUCUUGUGAGAUUUUGGGGAACCUCUUUCCCUCAAUCAGAGCACUGAAGGUGGGUUGUGGCUGGGUCUUUCAACAUGACAAUGACCCGAAGCACACAGCCAGGAAAACCAAGGAGUGGCUCCAAAAGAAGCAUAUCAAGGUUCUGCCAUGGCCUAUAAUUCUAUAAUAAAUAAUAAUCCAAGAUAAAAUAUACAUUAAAAAUACUGAAAAGAGAUUGCACAGCAUUCCAGCCUGAGUCUAUUGCACAGUGGUGUUCCAGAGGUAACCUGUGGGAUGGUCACCGGUGGUUGGGGUUAGCGUUCAUAGCUAUGAUGGCAUUUGGCUUUAUUAAAUUUUUCCUGGCUUUGAUACACCUGGAGGUGCUCCCUGUGGGCAGUAGGUCAAACAGGUCAGCUCCAGGGUCGUAAGUGUCCUUGAUGAUGUUUUGAGCUCUAUUGAGACAGCGGGUGGUGUAAAUGUACGUCAGAGAAGGGAGAAGGCAGCCCAUGAGUUUCCAAGCUGCCUUUACUACCAUCUGCAGCCUCUCUGUGUCAGCCAUAGAGCCAUUUCUAUACCACACUGUAAUGCAGUAUAUAAGCAGACUCUUAAUGAAUGACCGAUAGAAGGUCCACAGGGUGGAGUUAAGGUUGGACUUCCUGAGAGUCUUCAGGAAAUCUAUUUGCUGCUGAGUCUUCUUGGUGAUCGCUGAGAUGGUGUUUGUCCAGCAGAUGUUAGAAGAGAUGAGGACGCCGAGGUAUGGGAAUGUGUGGAUCCUCUCUACACGUUCGCCGUUGAUGGAGAGGGGAGCCGCAUCGUUGAUGAUCCUCCUGAAGUUGACAGCAAUCUCGUUGGUUUUAUUGGUGUUCAGAGUCAGGUUUUUAAUUGAGCACCAAGUUGCCAGCUACAGGACCUCUCCCUGUCUCGUGUCGUCCUGAAAUUAGUCCAACCACUCUGGUGUCAUCAGCAAACUUCAGUAUGAAGUUGUUGUUUUGAGACAGAUGACAAUAAUGGGUGUAGAACAGGGGUGCUCAAUGUGUCGAUCGAGAUCGGAGGCAGUUUGUCAAUUUUGUGACGCCCCCCCCCAAAAAAAAAGAUGUCAGCCCAUCAUCCAUCUCGUCGCUUGGUUCAGGUGUGGCAGAUACGUCAAUUGCACACACAUAAAGGCACUUUCUAGCAAACUGGCCUCCUAUAUACGGUGUCUCUUUUGCUUUCUCCUCGGCAGUCGCGGCACUGUGCAAACCCCCCCCCCCCCAACCCCCACACGGAUAAAAAAGUCCGGGCACCACUGGUGUAAAGUCAGUACAGGAAGGGGCUCAUCACACACCCGUGAGGGGAGCCGGUGCUCGGUGUCUGUAUGAAGGAAAGGUAAGGGCCAAGUCUCACAGUCUGAGAGACUUGGUGCUGAGUGAGAAAGUUCUUUAUCCAAGUGUAAUGGUGUGAUGUUGUGCGCUAUAAUAGGAACAGGAUGCAGAAGCACACUUUUAUUUUGAAAGGCAGCACUUUCUCUGUCAUUUAUUCCUUUUUGUUCUUUUGAACAUCAUUGAAGGAAUUGUGUUUAAAAAUGUUCAUUGUAGGGGGGAAAAUGCCGUUGAAUUGUUGAUGGAAAAUCUGACAACCACAGUUAGUAGGCUACGUGCUUUAUUUUGAAGCCAUACUUAUCAUGUGGCGGGAGGAACUACUUCCUCUUGUUUAUGAGACUUCUGAGUGUAAGGUACACAUUUUGCUCUCUCCACAUAUUUUCAGUUUUCAUGUAGAAUGUGAAUAUAUGUUAGUUUAAAUCGUUUGCAAAGCAGGUGUAGUCACAGAAGCGCAGUGUUGAAUACGUUUCAUUGAUUUUAAGCAUAAACCUGCAAGUUGGAGGAGGAGUGGAGAGGUUGCAAUGUGUGUGUUGCUGAGGACUAUGUGGUUUUUUCGGUCCAGAUGAGUGUUAGCAGAACCCGCGUGGUAACCCUGUUCUUGAUUUCAGAGAGUUUUGAGAGUAAUUGUAAAGAGAACUCUGUGAACAUCCAUGAAUGUGUCUCCCUUAAAAUACAAGUAUGUGAGUUUAUGCAAGUUUUUUUUAUAUUCUUUUCAUCUGUUGCGAUGUAAGUCAUAUGUUAUUUGUUUUUGUGAUAUAUUUCCUCUUGUUUGUGAGACUUCUGAGUGUAAGAGUUUUGGGAGUAAUUGUGUAGAGAAAUCUGUGAACAUCCAUGAAUGUGUCUCCUUUAUAAUACAGA